rnacentral:tRNA from 1 species
CGAAGUUGUAGUUUAAAAAAAUAUUAGCAUUGGAAGUUAAAGAAUAGGAUGUGUCCUACAUUUCGA